CGAGAUUGUAUCUCUAUUACGAAACUGAGCAGCCGCCAGUUGAUCCCUUUGCCGUUGCAUUGCCUUGGACCUGCGAGAUUUUCUCUGUAUUUUCUCCUUCCCUUUGACAACCACCUAGCGCUCUAUGGGCAGCAGGAACAAGAAUGAUAAAGCUACCUCAUCGCCUUCCAAGCGUAGGCAUAGAAUAUCGGACGAUUCCGUCGCCGAUUCCUACUCGGACGACUCUGAGAGCAGAGACUCAUCGCCCAGGAGGAGCUCUGGCAAGCGUAGAGAAAGGAGUAGACGUAGCCGAAGCAGACACAGUCGUAGCAGUCGUCGACGGAGCCGGAGUUACGACGAGUCUGAUGAUGGGGAUGGGAGCGAUAGCGAUCGCGGGCGGAAGAAGAAGAGCUCUUCGAGGAAGGUUACUGAAGAAGAAAUUGCUGAGUAUUUGGCGAAGAAAGCUCAGAGAAAGGCUAUGAAAGUCGCGAAGAAAUUGAAGGCACAGUCUGUGUCUGGCUAUUCCAAUGAUUCGAAUCCAUUUGGUGAUUCCAAUCUUAAUGAGAAAUUUGUGUGGCGAAAGAAGAUUGAACGUGAUGUUUCCCAAGGCGUGCCACUUGACAUGUUUUCUGUUAAAGCUGAGAAGCAGAGGCAAAGAGAAAGAAUGGCGGAGAUUGAGAAGGUGAAAAAGAGAAGAGAGGAAAGGGCAGUUGAAAAGGCACAGCAUGAGGAAGAAAUGGCGAUGUUGGCUAGAGAACGUGCUAGGGCUGAGUUCCAAGAUUGGGAGAAAAAAGAAGAGGAGUUUCAUUUUGAUCAAAGCAAAAUCAGGUCCUGUAUCAGACUGCAAGAAGGACGAAUGAAACCUAUAGAUAUUCUGUCAAAGCACCUCAAUGUAUCAGACGAUUUGGAUAUAGAAAUAAAUGAGCCAUACAUGGUUUUCAAGGGUCUGACAGUAAAAGAGAUGGAAGAGCUUCGUGAUGACAUCAAAAUGCAUCUGGAUAUGGAUAGGAAAACUCAGACACACAUUGAUUAUUGGGAGGCCCUUUUGGUGGUUUGCAAUUGGGAGCUAGCUGAAGCUCAGAAAAAGGAUGCAUUGGAUCGGGCUAGGGUGCGUGGAGAGGAACCUCCGGCUGAGUUGCUUGCAGAAGAAAGGGGUCUGCAUUCUAGCAUUGAAACAGACGUCAGGAAUUUCUUGGAAGGGAAGACUUCCAGUGAGCUUGACGCAUUACGGUCCCAAAUUGAGUCACAAAUGAGUUCUGGCACUGCAAAGGUGGUGGAGUACUGGGAGGCUGUUCUCAAACGACUUCAGAUCUACAAGGCAAAGGCUUGUUUGAAAGAAAUUCAUGCUAAGAUGUUACGCAAGCAUUUACAACGCCUUGAGCCACCUAUGGAGGAUCGUGACAAGCUGGAAAAUGAUCAUAGUUUAAGGCCUAUUGAGGAGGAGAAUGAGCAUGAUCUAAAAGAUGCUGAAACUUUUUCUCCAGAACCUCUGACAGAGGAGGAGACUCAUGAGGCAGAAGAAGCUGGAUCAUUUUCUCCUCAACUGCUACAUGGUGAUGAAAAUGAAGAAGCAAUUGAUCCUGAAGAAGAUAGGGCUAUACUGGAAACCAAACGUAUGGCAGUGUUAGAGGAGCAACAAAGACGAAUUCAAGAUGCCAUGGCAUCAAAGCCACCUCCAUCAGAAGAUAACUUUGAGAUGAAAGCCAUUAAAGCUAUGGGGGCAAUGGAGGAAGGUGAUGCAGUGUUUGGCUCUGGGGCUGAAGUGAAUCUGGACUCACAGGUAUACUGGUGGCACGAUAAGUACCGACCACGAAAGCCCAAGUAUUUCAACCGUGUUCACACUGGAUAUGAAUGGAACAAAUACAAUCAGACUCAUUAUGAUCACGACAAUCCGCCACCAAAGAUUGUCCAGGGAUAUAAAUUCAAUAUCUUCUACCCAGACCUUGUGGAUAAGACAAAAGCUCCAGUUUAUACCAUUGAGAAGGAUGGGAACAGUGAUGAGACCUGCAUUAUAAGGUUCCAUGCUGGCCCACCCUAUGAAGAUAUAGCUUUCCGGAUUGUAAACAAAGAAUGGGAAUAUUCUCAUAAGAAGGGAUUCAAGUGCACAUUUGAACGUGGAAUUUUGCAUGUCUACUUCAAUUUCAAACGUUACCGCUACCGAAGAUGAUCCUUCAGAACUAUAUUGCAAAUUUGUCCCGAAUCUGUAUAUUACAUUAUGAAAUUGUAUGAAACAGUUAAUUGAUCUUUUUUUAACACAUUUUUGUGUGGGUAUAAAAUAGGAAUACUUGCACUAUUAAAUGAACAUAUGUUAAGCAGAUGCCAUUAAUUUACGUGCUGAUGUCCAAGAUUAAUCAAAGAAUAAGCUGAGAAUAAUUAUCAAAACAACUGAUCAUGUGGGCCUUCUGAUUACAACUUUCCAUUUCCUUGGUGCUUGGUGGGAUGUGUUUCUUUGAUUCUUGUAAUCUUGUUGCCAUUUUACCAUUCUUGCUUUGAUAAAGUAGUGUAGUGAUCUUCUAUUAGCUUCACUCAAUUGUACACUAUGUAAUAAUAACAAGUAAUAUUUUUGGUUGAUGGGACAAGACAAACCAUUUAUGCUCAGACAUCGUAAUAGAAGUCUCCUCGCUCUGUUUACAAAAAUCUCCACUCUCCUUGCAUUGGAAGCUUCUGUAUUUGGACCCUUUCUUGUCAUGGUAACCAUUCAUAAUCAUAAGUAGGAAUUUGAAUGUUAAAUG
rnacentral:misc_RNA from 1 species